rnacentral:lncRNA from 1 species
UUUUUUGUGGAUACCCAACAGCUUGAUUGGAAUCUUCUAGGGUAUACAAUUUUGUUAUUUGAUAAGUCUUCUUUCUAUUUAGUGUUCAUGGCCCGUCAAAUCUCGUAUUAGAAAAAUGUCAUAUAGCACUUGGUACAAUUCUUACUUCAGCUACAACAUGCCCUUAACUCAACACCAUGAUAUUCUGCAUUUUCAUUUUCCCUACAAUCACCACUCAUCAAAAAACAUUGUGUAGGAUACACACUGUCCUCCGAAGCAAGUCACACUCCAAUUAUGGGUUUGAUGGUCUCGCUGGAUCCUAACCAUUUCUUGAUUGGCUCUAGUCUCUUGAACAAUUUUUUGAUUUCCACAAUUUAAGUGACUCUCGUUGUCUUUAUCAUGCUAAUAUGGCACUUAUCAAAUCUACUAUAUGUCAUUGAAAAUCAUUUUAGCGUAACAUUGAUAACCUAGGUCAACGUCCGGUCAUUUUGUGGAAGGAAAUUAAAUGAAUCAUAAGUAAUAAAUAUGUCCCAGUGUCUUAUCGAAAUCAAGUGUUAAAUAAAUUCUUUUUGCACUGUAAGUAAGGUAAUUCGACUGUUAGUACGUAUAUAGCUCACUUCAAAGAGUUAUUACGCAAUUGUUAUAUUUAUGAAGCUCCCCACAUUAUAGAUCGAGGUUUAUCGAUGGUUUAAAUCCUGAAAUCUUACCUGAUGAUAUUCCUGCAUUCAAAUCCUUAUAUGAUGCCUAACAACUGACCAACAUAUGGAACAUGAAAUUCCAUCUUCGUCAAGCAUGUCAUAAGCUUGAUUUAUCAUCUCAGCCACAACAAUCAUCUCUCGAAUCUAAUUGUGUUACUCUUGAAGAAAAAAAGAAAUUUUCAUUCUUGAGCCAAUCGAAUAUUAUAAUUGCAAGGAUGAGGAAUUAUCUAUAGUAUUGCCACUUGAGUAAAAAAGACCACCUAACCUCGAUUUUAUGCCUAAGUCCUUAUUGUCUAAUCCUUUGCGUGACUCUAAUAUUGACUUUGAUAUAGUUUUACCUCCACUCUAUGAUGCUUCUUGGGUUACAGUGUUGUCCAAUAUCUUCAUUCGUUCACCCACUUUUUCUUAUCAACGUAUGGUUGUUACCUACUAAUUAUCGUCAUAUUAUUUUAUCUUCAUCAUUUGUUGAUUUUUAUGCUAAGUUUUAGAGACAGAUUAUUUUCAGUCAUGAACACAAUGAGCUUGCAAUUGAUACGCUAAUUUGGGCUCGGAUACUCUUUUGGUGAUUUUUUUGACUUGUUGCAUUUUUCAUUGGCACGAUUUCCCAAAUCAUUCACUAACAUAAUCUGUUUGACUAGCCAUCGCACUUAAUGGAAGGUUUUGUUUUUAGUAUAUCAGAAUUGUUUCAUUGUCAAGGCGCACUCAAGCUACCGAUGUCGCAAUUAUUUAUUUUUUCAAGUCAGUCUACUGUCCAAGUGCAUCGUGCUCCACAUGUGGAAUCCAUGGUACAUUUUUGUGGAUGAGUUGCACAGAUUGUUGAUUAGUGAAGUCCUCAAUCGCUAUUUGGUUAAAAGGAAAGAUCCCUUGGUCUUUAAAUUCAAUCGGUGUCACAUGAUUGGUUUCGUUAUUUUAUCAUAAAAAAGAUCGUCCUUCUUGACUGAAAAGUUGCAAUCUAUCUCAUUAGAGUCGAGUUCUCUCAAGUUAGGAGAAAUGAUCUCAACCGGGGAAAAAUGAUGUAAUAUCAUAAGAGAUCGUAUUUUAAUUUAAUUUUCACUUUUCUAGUUUGAUUGUAUAUUAUUUUUCUACUUCCAUUAGAGUUAGUUCAAACCCUAUAUAAAGGGGGCUUUUGCAUUGUAACAAAACGAGCUUCAUAUAAUGAAAUAAUUGAUGUUCUCACCCCUCCCCCCAUUCUCUUCUUCCCUCUCCCUCUUCUUCUAUUCUCCAUCAUUUCUCUUCUUCUCUCUCAUUUUCCAUUCUCUUAUAAUUCUCCUAUAGCAUUCAGUGCCAAAUUAAUUCAAGUCAUGAUUUUUGUAAUAUAAAGUUAAACUACAGAGUUGUGUAAUCCUUUAAAGUGAUAGAAAUUAAAAAAACCUUCAAGAUGCGUGAAU